GGAAUCUUUUUGCACAAGAACCCUAUGUUGUGUUGUAAACCUGCGAACAUUGGUCCCUGAACAGGGACCCAAAAAACAGACCUGUUUGGAGCAAGCUGAAAGAAGCCCUAUUGAGAGAGUGCUGAAAGAAGCGCGGGGCUGAAAGAAGCCUUAUCCUGCUGAAAGAAGAGCGAGGCUGAGAGAAGCCUUACCAUCCCCAGCCACUCUGAUAGCUUUUCGCUGGAUGAAGGCGCUCUUACUGUUUUUACAAAUGGAUCUGGCAGGACUGGCUGCACGGUCAUUGUAUGGAGAAGCAGUGCCAGGAUGUGGGAUAGUGACGUGCAUGUCAUCACUGGCUCUCCACAAAUUGUGGAACUUACAGCAGUGAUCCGUGUGUUUGAGCGAUGGUCUGAAUUUGUGUGGACUUAUCUCGAGGAAGACAGCCAUCUCAGGAGGUACACACAUGACUCUUGCUCAAGCACCCAGGGAUGUCACGUAGGCAGGAAGAAAGAAGGAUAAAAGAGGGUCCAAAAAUCAUGAGGAUAGGUGUCAGCCGUCAGAUCCCUCACUACGGACUGCAUGCUGAUGAACUUCCCUGGGCCUGCUACCUGAGACCUGCUGCUUCCUCCCGGACUUACUCUGUGACUUCUUCCUGGACCCACCCGGUACCUGCACCCUCUCAUUGCCCAAGACCAGCCUCGCUGCUCCUGCCCUUCGGCCUCGGACCAUCGGAAUGGCGUGCAACAGACCGCUGCUGGAUCUUGGUGGUGACUAUCCCCGCUUUACGCAAUUCUUGCUUCUUCGUAUCUUUUCUAUCGCUCACCUUCCCUUCCCCAUCACCCCAAUCUGUAAUAGUAUCCGUCCUCCCUUUCCUUCAUCUCCCUUAUUAACAUCUGUAAUAAACUGGUCGGACCAA